GACGAACGCCGGCGGCGUGCUUAACACAUGCGAGUCGAACGGAAAGGCCCUGCUUUUGUGGGGUGCUCGAGUGGCGAACGGGUGAGUAACACGUGAGUAACCUGCCCUUGACUUUGGGAUAACUUCAGGAAACUGGGGCUAAUACCGGAUAGGAGCUCCUGCUGCAUGGUGGGGGUUGGAAAGUUUCGGCGGUUGGGGAUGGACUCGCGGCUUAUCAGCUUGUUGGUGGGGUAGUGGCUUACCAAGGCUUUGACGGGUAGCCGGCCUGAGAGGGUGACCGGCCACAUUGGGACUGAGAUACGGCCCAGACUCCUACGGGAGGCAGCAGUGGGGAAUAUUGCACAAUGGGCGGAAGCCUGAUGCAGCAACGCCGCGUGCGGGAUGACGGCCUUCGGGUUGUAAACCGCUUUCGCCUGUGACGAAGUGUGAGUGACGGUAAUGGGUAAAGAAGCACCGGCUAACUACGUG
rnacentral:rRNA from 1 species